CAGUGGCGUGCUGGGUACUAUUUUUCUGGGGAGGCCAGCCGGCUGGCAACUAAUAUGCGCCCCUAUAAUAUUACCCUUGAUAAACGAGGGCCGAAGGCACGAGUCGAGCGCCGCAGGUGCGAGGUUUGUCUAGGGGGGUCCGGGAGCAUGCCCCCCAGGAAAAUUUUUGAAUUUAAAGUCUCUGAAAUGCCAUUUCCUGGACUUUGGGGGAAGAUUUGACAGAAAUCUGAUGGUCAGGAAACGGCAUUACAACGUGUCGAAAUUUGAAAAUUGGUUAGAAUUUAGUAGUAGCACUUAAAUUGGGCAAUGCUAACUACUUCCAGCAAUUAAUCUAAUCCCAAUUCUAUUCUCUACUGAUCUGAAUACAUUUACAAUUUACAGCUCUUUUAUACAAUAACACACGAACCCCACGCAUAUGCAUU